AACGAACGCUGGCGGCAUGCCUAACACAUGCAAGUCGAACGAGACCUUCGGGUCUAGUGGCGCACGGGUGCGUAACGCGUGGGAAUCUGCCCUUGGGUUCGGUAUAACAGUUGGAAACGACUGCUAAUACCGGAUGAUGACGUAAGUCCAAAGAUUUAUCGCCCAAGGAUGAGCCCGCGUAGGAUUAGCUAGUUGGUGAGGUAAAGGCUCACCAAGGCGACGAUCCUUAGCUGGUCUGAGAGGAUGAUCAGCCACACUGGGACUGAGACACGGCCCAGACUCCUACGGGAGGCAGCAGUGGGGAAUAUUGGACAAUGGGCGAAAGCCUGAUCCAGCAAUGCCGCGUGAGUGAUGAAGGCCUUAGGGUUGUAAAGCUCUUUUACCCGGGAUGAUAAUGACAGUACCGGGAGAAUAAGCUCCGGCUAACUCCGU
rnacentral:rRNA from 1 species